rnacentral:rRNA from 1 species
GGGUUGUGAGGUUAAGCGACUAAGCGUACACGGUGGAUGCCCUGGCAGUCAGAGGCGAUGAAGGGCGUGCUAAUCUGCGAUAAGCGCCGGUAAGGUGAUAUGAACCGUUAUAACCGGCGAUACCCGAAUGGGGAAACCCAGUGUGACUCGUCACACUAUCAUUAACUGAAUCCAUAGGUUAAUGAGGCGAACCGGGGGAACUGAAACAUCUAAGUACCCCGAGGAAAAGAAAUCAACCGAGAUUCCCCCAGUAGCGGCGAGCGAACGGGGAGGAGCCCAGAGCCUGAAUCAGCAUGUGUGUUAGUGGAAGCGUCUGGAAAGGCGCGCGAUACAGGGUGACAGCCCCGUACACAAAAGCGCAUGUGCUGUGAGCUCGAUGAGUAGGGCGGGACACGUGGUAUCCUGUCUGAAUAUGGGGGGACCAUCCUCCAAGGCUAAAUACUCCUGACUGACCGAUAGUGAACCAGUACCGUGAGGGAAAGGCGAAAAGAACCCCGGCGAGGGGAGUGAAAAAGAACCUGAAACCGUGUACGUACAAGCAGUGGGAGCCCCACCACUAAGCCAGUGGUGAACUCCACAUACGCAUCCUUUGCUGAGGAUACGGUUAACGGAGCGCAAGCGACGUUCAACCUCAAAAGAAGCAGAGGGGGCUUAGUGGUGGGGUGACUGCGUACCUUUUGUAUAAUGGGUCAGCGACUUAUAUUCUGUAGCAAGGUUAACCGAAUAGGGGAGCCGGAGGGAAACCGAGUCUUAAUUGGGCGUUAAGUU